UGGGAUAAGCCAUCCAGGAUGAAACCUGU
rnacentral:piRNA from 1 species